AUUGAACGCUGGCGGCAGGCUUAACACAUGCAAGUCGAGCGGAGAUGAGGUGCUUGCACCUCAUCUUAGCGGCGGACGGGUGAGUAAUGCUUAGGAAUCUGCCUAUUAGUGGGGGACAACAUUCCGAAAGGAAUGCUAAUACCGCAUACGCCCUACGGGGGAAAGCAGGGGAUCUUCGGACCUUGCGCUAAUAGAUGAGCCUAAGUCGGAUUAGCUAGUUGGGGGGGUAAAGGCCUACCAAGGCGACGAUCUGUAGCGGGUCUGAGAGGAUGAUCCGCCACACUGGGACUGGGACACGGCCCAGACUCCUACGGGAGGCAGCAGUGGGGAAUAUUGGACAAUGGGCGGAAGCCUGAUCCAGCCAUGCCGCGUGUGUGAAGAAGGCCUUUUGGUUGUAAAGCACUUUAAGCGAGGAGGAGGCUACCUGGAUUAAUACUCUAGGAUAGUGGACGUUACUCGCAGAAUAAGCACCGGCUAACUCUGUGCCAGCCGCCGCAGUAAUAC
rnacentral:rRNA from 1 species